rnacentral:rRNA from 1 species
ACUCCUACGGGAGGCAGCAGUGGGGAAUAUUGCACAAUGGGGGAAACCCUGAUGCAGCCAUGCCGCGUGUGUGAAGAAGGCCUUCGGUUGUAAAGCACUUUCAGUAGGGAGGAAGGUAGUGUAGUUAACACCUGCACUAUUUGUACGUUACCUACAGAAGAAGCACCGGCUAACUCCGUGCCAGCAGCCGCGGUAAUACGGAGGGUGCGAGCGUUAAUACGGAAUUACUGGGCGUAAAGCGCAUGCAGGCGGCCUGUUAAGUCAGAUGUGAAAGCCCGGGGCUUAACCUCGGAAUUGCAUUUGAAACUGGCAGGCUAGAGUCUGUAGAGGGGUUAGAAUUUCGAGUGUAGCGUGAAAUGCGUAGAGAUCUAGAAGGAAUACC